rnacentral:rRNA from 1 species
UACGUAGGGUGCGAGCGUUAAUCGGAAUUACGUGGCGUAAAGCGUGCGCAGGCGGUUUUGUAAGUUUGUCGUGAAAUCCCCGGGCUCAACCUGGGAAUGGCGAUGAAGACUGCAAGGCUAGAAUCUGGCAGAGGGGGGUAGAAUUCCGACGUGUAGCAGUGAAAUGCGUAGAGAUGUGGAGGAACACCGAUGGCGAAGGCAGCCCCCUGGGUCAAGAUUGACGCUCAUGCACGAAAGCGUGGGGAGCAAACAGG